rnacentral:rRNA from 1 species
UUGUUAUUUAGUGGCGGAAGGGUUAGUAAUACAUAGAUAAUCUGUCCUCAACUUGGGAAUAACGGUUGGAAACGACCGCUAAUACCGAAUGUGGUAUGUUUAGGCAUCUAAAGCAUAUUAAAGAAGGGGAUCUUCGGACCUUUCGGUUGAGGGAGAGUCUAUGGGAUAUCAGCUUGUUGGUGGGGUAAUGGCCUACCAAGGCUUUGACGUCUAGGCGGAUUGAGAGAUUGACCGCCAACACUGGGACUGAGACACUGCCCAGACUUCUACGGAAGGCUGCAGUCGAGAAUCUUUCGCAAUGGACGAAAGUCUGACGAAGCGACGCCGCGUGUGUGAUGAAGGCUCUAGGGUUGUAAAGCACUUUCGCUUGGGAAUAAGAGAGAUUGGCUAAUAUCCAAUCG